GGGGACGUAGUGUACGGUGCACCGCUGCGUCUCCUGAUGAAGGCUGCAAACUUUGAGCAGCAGGCUGGGGUUCGACUCCCCGCGUCCCCG